GCAAAGAAUUGUCGGUGAAGUAGAUCUGCCUUUGUCGAUGGUCGGAUUAAUGCUUCAGGAGGACGUUGGCAGGCUGGCGUCUCCUCCAUGAUGAACCGCCACCAGAAGGUCUCACGCUGAGAAGGGGACCCCUCGCACGUGAUGGCACUUGGAACCCACUUUCUGGGCAACUCAGUGGGAGGAGCUCCGUAUUUUAACAAGUUAUUUGUGUCUAGUUUCUGGCAUGAAGCUGGGGGCUUCCUCCUCAAGGUGCCGGGCUGGGCUCUAGGCUGGUGUCCUUCCAGAACAGAGGAGAGGGAGACAUGUUUCAUACAGGCCAGGCUCACAGGACAAACAGGACCCGCCGGGAGGCUUGGAACCACACAGGCACCCUGUGAACAAGAGCAGAUUCAAGCUUGCCCGCCUGACUCGGGGCUUUGCAAUCGAUUCAACAGCAGAGUUAAAUCUGAACCCCACAUCUUGCCUUGCUUUGAAGUGAGGAAUGCACUCAUGGGUUUCCUUCCCCUGAUUGCACCCUCAGACAAAGCGAGCCCAGAGCAGUUAGGUACCCCCACUUGGAGCCCGAGCCCCAGGAGCUGAUGACAGUGCUUGAGGAUUUUCCCAACGAUGUUUUUCACUCACUCUCCACUUUCUAGAGGGAACUGGCAGGUUCAGUAUUCAAGUCCCCGAUUUUCUCCAGACCUUGGACCCCAUUGUAUCCCACUGUCUGUGGGAGAGUCCCUCCUGGAGAAGUCACAAACCCUCAAACUCCAUUCCCUGUGUUCAACCCCAAAUCUUCCUCCCUCCUGAGUGAAGCCAGGAGGGACCCCAUGUUGCCUGCCAUUGCCCUCUGAUACGUCACCAAAUCAGGCUGCCGUUCUGGCCACCUCCUGAAUCUGUCUCAGCCUCUUCACAUCAAGUGAUGGUCACACCAAAGCCUGGGGCACCGGAGGGCAGGCUCUUACCCUCAGAGGGCCACUGCUCCCCUCAUUGCUUAACUGGAYUGUUCUGUAAAAUGGUGCCUAAAUAAUAAAUAAAAGGUUUGAAGAACA
rnacentral:lncRNA from 1 species